CGGCCCAGACUCCUACGGGAGGCAGCAGUGGGGGAUAUUGCACAAUGGAGGAAACUCUGAUGCAGCGACGCCGCGUGAGGGAAGAAGGUCUUCGGAUUUAAACCUCUGUCUUUGGGGACGAAUCAAUGACGGUACCCAAGGAGGAAGCCACGGCUAACUACGUGCCAGCAGCCGCGGUAUACGUAGGUGGCAAGCGUUGUCCGGAUUACUGGGUGUAAAGGGUGCG
rnacentral:rRNA from 1 species